rnacentral:lncRNA from 1 species
UGACAUGGACAGGAGACAGGGAAAUACUGGAUAGAACAGGGCAGUUCCCUGGCAAAGGCCCCACCCUCGAGCUUGGAAACCUGCGGCCCUAAAUGGGAACAGGUAUUCCUGUUUUCGAACUCAAGUGUUGCUUUUGGCCCGCCAUGCCUCCCUAUCCUGUACCCACAGAAACCCCAAACCCCAGGCUCCAAGAGCAGAAGAGCAGAAGACUGGCAGAGUGGCAGAACGGCACGGCAGAGAAGAAAAGAGAAGGAGCAUCUGAACACCGAGCUCGGGAAUUCUGCGGGGACAGACCUUCCAUCCGCACGCACAUGGAGGCAUGAUCUCCCCCUGUCAAUUCUAAGGUUCUAAAUACAUUUCUCCUUCAGACUUCAUUCUUUCGUUUACCUCUUCUCUCCUAUUUUUAAAAAGAGGAAAUAACUGUAUUUUCCUUUCCUGUACAUCUUAACCCAUCUAUGCCUAGUGUUCCAUUAUUGGAACGCUAAGCUCAUGGCUAACACAGCUUUGCUGCUAUGAAAUGCUUCCAUUUUCAGAAGCUGUGUUC